rnacentral:rRNA from 1 species
GACGAACGCUGGCGGCGUGCCUAAUACAUGCAAGUAGAACGCACAGUUUAUACCGUAGCUUGCUACACCAUAGACUGUGAGUUGCGAACGGGUGAGUAACGCGUAGGUAACCUGCCUGGUAGCGGGGGAUAACUAUUGGAAACGAUAGCUAAUACCGCAUAAUAUUGAUUAUUGCAUGAUAAUUAAUUGAAAGGUGCAAUUGCACCACUACCAGAUGGACCUGCGUUGUAUUAGCUAGUAGGUGAGGUAACGGCUCACCUAGGCGACGAUACAUAGCCGACCGGAGAGGGUGAUCGGCCACACUGGGACGGAGACACGGCCCAGACGCCUACGGGAGGCAGCAGUAGGGAAUCGUCGGCAAUGGACGAAAGUCUGUCCGAGCAACGCCGCGGGAGGGAAGAAGGAUGUCGGAUCGUAAAGCUCGGUUGUAAGAGAAGAACGGGUGUGAGAGUGGAAAGUUCACACUGUGACGGUAGCUGACCAGAAAGGGACGGCUAACUACGUG